GAUAAUACUGGAAGUAGGGAUGUUGACCACCGCCUGUACUACAAUAACUUAUGUUUGCUUGGUGUGAAUUUACGUCUCCCACAACAAGUCAGGUAGCUAGGCAUUGGCCAAUAUUAGUUAUCUGCCGGCAGGGAGAUAAUACCUUGGAUCACUGGUAGAAUCAUUAGCCAGAGUCAGCAACCAGCCAACUACUUGGGCUUCUAGCCAUCCUCCUUUUGUUGCUACAGACUGAGAGGGGAAACUAUACUUCACAACUGCAUGUUGGACAUACCACUCUCAGAAAUAUGUUGUAUGCAAAAUAGAAGCCCCCUCAAAAAAAAAAAAAAAAAAAAAAAAAAAAAAAAAAAAAAAAAAAAAAAAUUAACAGAAUCAGAAUAAAAACAGCAUAGAUUUGUAUAUUGAAUCCAAAAGGCGGCCUCCAGAGAUACACCCGAAAGACAUCCCCCGGGAGACCGGAGAGGAAUUGGAACAUCCCCAGGCGACCCAGAUUCCACGGCAAACUACAACACCACCAAGAACCUCAACGGAAUGGGAUGGACCCUGGUACCCCUUUCCCUACCUAGGAACUAGCGUGCCUGUGGGAAGAAUCCCAAAGGCCAAAAAGAGGAAGGGAAUAAGGGAAGGACGGGGAGGAGGAGGAAGAAAGGAAAAAGGGAGGAUGGGAUGGGGAAGGGGGGGAUUGGGGGGUAAUUAGGUUUGGUCUAAGGAACGAGACCAACAGGUCUAACUCCUCAGACCAAGAGCCUCUUCACCAAGCCAAGGAGCCCCCCUUGAAGAGGGUUAAUUUAUAUAAAAAAUACAGAUAUGUACAUAUACUAAGAUAGUUUUGGCCUUUGUAUAUCUGAAAGUUUCAUACCAGUAAAGGAAUAACAAUAUCAGCAUUAAGAAAGUUUUAUAUUUCCUUGUUUCUCCACACAGUGAACUGUUCUAUUUCUCUCUUCAUAUUUUGCAAUUUUUUUUUUCUUUUUGCCCUUGAAGGGUUAUUUGAUUUUUGUCAACCUUUGUCUAAAGUAUUUACAGUACUCUACUAUUAUCAAUGCCAUUUUUUAAACCUUGAGAGGAAACUCAAAUUUCCUAGUAAAGGGAAUAUCUGCUAUAAGGACAAACUUAAUUUAACUUGCUCAAUUGACUCACCUUUGGGAUAAAGUAGAAUAUACAUUGAUAUACUCUAAAUGAGGUUGCCUAAAAAGUUAAAAUAUACUCAUUCCAUAUCAAAAUAAACUGCUGACAGCAACAUCAGCUGUAAUGUAUUCAAACAAAAAUCAUGGUGCUUUUUAUAAAUACAAGUGGAUUAACUCCUUAAUAUAAAAAUGGAUUAAUUAAAAAUUACACAUUGAGUUGUAUCUUAAGCAUCAACAAAGUUUGCAGCUCUGCAAAAUAAUGAUACAGUAUAAUUAUCACAAAGAAAAUUAAGAAACAGAAUAAGGGAGAAUUAUUAUUAUUAUAAUCAAAAAGAAGCGCUAAACCACAUGGGCUAUUUCUGAAGAAGCAAUAAACCCAAUAUCAUUAAUUUUUUUUCUGACAUCACAUAUCAGAUAACCCUCCAACUGCAACAUCCUCACUCUUCCUUCAGAGUACAGGCACUGCCCAGGAGGCCAAAAGGAGUGGUGGGGAUACAACAGUUGGAAGGCAAUUUGAUCUGUGAUAUCAGCACACUUCUGGCAAGACAAUGAAUGAUGGUGAAUGUGUUUUCUUUUUUCGAUCACCUGCCUUGGCAGAAAACAAGUUGGCCAUCCCCCACUGAGGCAGGGUGACCCAAAAAGAAAGAAAAUCCCCAAGAAGAAAAUACUUUCAUCAUUCAACACUUUGACCUCACUCACACAUAAUCACUGUUUUUGCAGAGGUGCUCAGAAUACAACAGUUCAGAAGCAUAUAUGUAUAAAGACACAACAUAUCCCUCCAAACUGCUAAUAUCCCAAUCCCCUCUAAAGUGCAGGCAUUGUACUUCCCAUUUCCAGGACUCAAGUCCGGCUAUAUAAAAAUAACUGGUUUCCCUGAAUCCCUUCACUAAAUAUUACCCUGCUCACACUCCAACAGCUCGUCAGGUCCAAAAUUCCAUUCGUCUCCAUUCACUCCUAUCUAACACACUUGUGCAUGCCUGCUGGAAGUCCAAGCCCCUCGCCCACAAAACCUCCUUUACCCCCUCCCUCCAACCUUUUCGAGGAUGACCCCUACCUCGCCUUCCUUCCCCUACAGAUUUAUAUGCUCUCCAUGUCAUUCUACUUUGAUCCAUUCUCUCUAAAUGACCAAACCACCUCAACAAUCCCUCUUCAGCCCUCUAAUACUUUUAUUAACUCCACACCUUUUCCUAAUUUCCACACUCCGAAUUUUCUGUAUAAUAUUUACACCACACAUUGCCCUUAGACAGGACAUCUCCACUGCCUCCAACCACCUCCUCACUGCAGCAUUUACAACCCAAGCUUCACACCCAUUUAAGAGUGUUGGUACUACCAUACUUUCAUACAUUCCCUUCUUUGCCUUCAUAGAUAAUGUUUUUUGUCUCCACACAAACCUCAAUGCACCACUCACCUUUUUUACUUCAUCAAAUCUAUGAUUAACCUCAUCCUUCAUAAAUCCAUCCCACGACACGUCAACUCCCAUAUAUCUGAAAACAUUCACUUCUUCCAAACUCCUCCUCUCCAAUUUGAUAUCCAGUUUUUCUUUAUCUAAAUCAUUUGAUACCCUCAUCACCUUACUCUUUUCUAUGUUCACUUUCAAUUUUCUACCUUUUCACACAUUCCCAAACUUGUAGACAGCAACCGCCCAGGGAGGUACUACCAUCCUGCCAAGUGAGUGUAAAACAGAAACCUGUAAUUGUUUUACAUGAUGGUAGGAUUGCUGGUGUCUUUUUUUUCUGUCUCAUAAACAUGCAAGAUUUCAGGUACAUAUUGCUACUACUUCUUACACUUAGGUCACACUACACAUACAUGUAUACAAGCAUAUAUAUACAUACCCCUCUGGGUUUUCUUCUAUUUUCUUUCUAGUUCUUGUUCUUAUUUCCUCUUAUCUCCAUGGGGAAGUGGUACAGAAUUCUUCCUCCAUAAGCCAUGCGUAUUGUAAGAGGCGACUAAAAUGCCGGGGGCAAGGGGUUAGUAACCCCUUCUCUUGUAUAAAUUACUAAAUUUAAAAAGAGAAACUUCAGUUUUUUUUUUUUGGGCCACCCUGCCUUGGUGGGAUACGGCCGGUUUGUUUAAAGAAAGAUAUAUAAAUAAACCAUUUAGGACAAGUUAAUUAAUUUUGCUGCAUUAAGAAAAUCUCCAAUUCACAGUACUUGCACACAAUGUAUAACAAACAAUGUCUCAGUCCAUAUAAAUGCUAUUGGAUAAAAUCUACUGGAUAGUUAUUAUUAGGUAUUAAAAAAAAAAAUGAAUGCUUUGUGUAGAAGCAAAAAUAAAAAAACUGUGUAAUGUACUUUUAAUUAUACAAACUAGAUUUAAUUGUACAGCACUCAUAAAAAUGGGCAAGUGUUUUAUUUUACCAAGAGAGCUUCAGUCCUUAAAUUUUUAUGGCCAGCUUUAGAAAAGAACUACCAUGCAAGUUACAGUACAUCAUAAUUCCUAAAUCCUUUAGUUUCUAAUGUAUGCAUGUGUGAGUGUGCAUGAAUGCAUGCAUGCAUGUCUGUGCAUCUGUGUGCAUGUGCGUGACAAACUUGUAUAUAAUUAUGAGAAGCGCUAAACCCAUAGGAUUAUACAGCACAUAUGGGGGGAGGGGAAGAUAUCCAGGCUCAAUUCAGGGAACUGGAGCACAGAUCAAAUUCCCUAGAUCAAAAGCCCCCUCACCAGUGUCAAGGAACCUCCCUUGAAGGGACAAAUUUAUAGCAUAUCCAGAAAACUUUAGAUUUCAAAAGGUAAUCUAUUUCUGAUAUUAAAGUGAUGCUCGCAAAUGCUAUUGCCAUGAUAAAUUCCUCUAUAAUAGAAUUAUGUCACUGUAGCUAGACCUUCAGUUUUCAGGAGAUCACUGUUAAUAAAUUACAUGUACAGUACAGCUUCUAAUCACUUAAUGACAGAGUUCCAUUCCUGAGACCAAGUGGUUAAACGAGUAUGUCGCUAAGUGAAGAGAGGCUGCGGUUAUAGGUGGUUCAUAGAUAGCAACUACCCAGGGAGGUACUACCAUCCUUCCAAGUGAGUGUAAAAUGGGAACCUGUAAUUGUUUUACAUAAGAACAUAAGAAAGAUGGAAUACUGCAACAGGCCUACUGGCCCAUCUGAGGCAGGUCCACUUCUACCGGCUUAAGCCAACGCCCUAACCUAGACAGGUCAAGUCUCAUUCACUUGAGGAAGGAGCACGACAUCUGACCUAGUAGCACAAGCUAGUCAGGUCCAACUCUCACCCCCUCAUGUAUUUAUCUAACCUAAGUUAGACAUCUUAGCUUCCAUGACGGUACUCAGGAGCUUGUUCCAUUCAUUCACAACUCUAUUACCAAACCAAAGCUUUCCUAUAUCCUGCCUGAAUCUGAAUUUUUCCAACUUAAAGCCAUUGCUGAGAGUCCUGUCUAGGAUAUAAAUUUAUUUCAUGCUAUUUACAUCCCCUUUAUUUAUUCCUGUUUUCCAUUAAUACUCCUCAAUCAUAUCCCCCCUAAUUCUAUGCCUUUCUAUAGAGUGUAGAUUCAGGGCCCUCAGUCUAUCCUUAUAGGGAAGAUUUCGGAUACAUGGGACCAACUUUGUCAUCCUCCUUUGUACAUUUUCCAGUGCAUUUAAAUCUAUUCUUUAAUACGGUGACCAGAACUGUGCAGCAUAAUCUAAAUAUAGAUAUAGAGAUGACGAACAACCGGAGAACUUCUAUUAUUUAUACUUCUUGAUAUAAAGCCAAGGAUUCUGUUAGCUUUAUUGCAAACACUUAUGCACUAUUGUCUUGAUUUCAGAUUACUGCUAACCAGAACUCCUAAA